rnacentral:rRNA from 1 species
UUGGAGGGCAAGUCUGGUGCCAGCAGCCGCGGUAAUUCCAGCUCCAAUAGCGUAUAUUAAAGUUGUUGCAGUUAAAAAGCUCGUAGUUGAAUUUCGGGAUCAAUUUAUCGGUCGUGCCUACGGUAUGAACUGGUACAAUUGGUUUCUCUCUUCUGACGAAGCAUGAUGCCAUUAAUUUGGUGUCGUGGGGAAUCAGGACUGUUACUUUGAAAAAAUUAGAGUGUUUAAAGCAAGCAUUAGCUUGAAUACAUUAGCAUGGAAUAAUGAAAUAGGACGUUUGAUCCUAUUUCGUUGGUUUCUAGGAUCGACGUAAUGAUUAAUAGGGAUAGUUGGGGGCAUUAGUAUUCAAUUGUCAGAGGUGAAAUUCUUGGAUUUAUUGAAGACUAACUACUGCGAAAGCAUUUGCCAAGGAUGUUUUCAUUAAUCAAGAACGAAAGUUAGGGGAUCGAAGACGAUCAGAUACCGUCGUAGUCUUAACCAUAAACUAUGCCGACUAGGGAUCGGAUGAUGUUAAUUUUUUAAUGACUCAUUCGGCGCCUUACGGGAAAC